AUUGAACGCUGGCGGCAGGCCUAACACAUGCAAGUCGAACGAGUGGCGGGCGGGUGAGUAAGGUCUGUGCACCUGCCUGAUGGAUGGGGAUGAGUACUCGAAACUGUAGCUGAUACCGCAUACCAUCAGCUGUGCCCAGAUGGGAUUAGCUAGUUGGGGGGGUAACGGCUCACCAAGGCGACGAUCCCUACCUGGUCUGAGAGGAUGACCAGCCACACUGGAACUGAGACACGGUCCAGACUCCUACGGGAGGCAGCAGUGGGGAAUCUUGGACAAUGGGCGCAAGCCUGAUGCAGCAACGCCGCGUGUGUGAAGAAGGUUUUCGGGUUGUAAAGCACUUUCAGCGGGGAGGCGGUAUCCGCAGAGGAAGCCCCGGCUAACUCCGUGCCAGCAGCCGCGGUAAUUC
rnacentral:rRNA from 1 species